CGUGGGCAACCUGCCUUAUAGUGGGGGAUAGCCUUUCGAAAGGAAGAUUAAUACCGCAUAAGAUUGUAGUAUCGCAUGAUAUAGCAAUUAAAGGAGCAAUUCGCUAUAAGAUGGACCCGCGUCGCAUUAGCUAGUUGGUGAGGUAAUGGCUCACCAAGGCGACGAUGCGUAGCCGACCUGAGAGGGUGAUCGGCCACAUUGGGACUGAGACACGGCCCAGACUCCUACGGGAGGCAGCAUG
rnacentral:rRNA from 1 species